AUUGAACGCUGGCGGCAUGCCUUACACAUGCAAGUCGAACGGCAGCACGGGUGCUUGCUCCUGGUGGCGAGUGGCGAACGGGUGAGUAAUACAUCGGAACAUGUCCUGUAGUGGGGGAUAGACCGGCGAAAGCCGGAUUAAUACCGCAUACGAUCCACGGAUGAAAGCGGGGGAGCUUCGGGCCUCGCGCUAUAGGGUUGGGCGACGGCUGAUUAGCUAGUUGGGGGGGUAAAGGCCUACCAAGGCGACGAGCAGUAGCUGGUCUGAGAGGACGGGCAGCCACACUGGAACUGAGACACGGCCCAGACUCCUACGGGAGGCAGCAGUGGGGAAUUUUGGGCAAUGGGCGAAAGCCUGAUCCAGCAAUGCCGCGUGUGUGAAGAAGGCCUUCGGGUUGUAAAGCACUUUUGUCCGGAAAGAAAUCCUUGGCCCUAAUACGGUCGGGGGAUGACGGUACCGGAAGAAUAAGCACCGGCUAACUACGUG
rnacentral:rRNA from 1 species